rnacentral:lncRNA from 1 species
GACAUUCUUCAAAAAUUCAUAUUUGAAUAUAAAUUAAGGUUAAAAAAAAUAAUAAUAAACAGAAAAUAAGCCCCUGUUUUGAUGGAGAUUUUGGAUAAUAGAUUUUGUGAAAAGUGAUUUUUAUGGAGAACAUGGUUAAAAAGUAUGGAAAAGUUAUAGAUCCAAGUGUGAAAUUAUUUUGUUGAGAGAAUAUAUGGUUAACAAUGAGUUUGGGAAAAAUUAUUUUUAGAAAAUGGGGAACAAACAGGGGCUAAGAUGCUUCCACUGUUACGAACGUAUCUGAUUUCUGUCUUGAGAGAUCUUAUGAAAAGUAGAAAAGUGAACUGGAUAGUGGAUAUUCAAUUUGUUGCUUUGGCAGUUCGUAUACUUGCUACUUGUACUUCUUCUCUCAUCUUGAGUAGUAUUUCAAACUUGUCCCAGAUGACACUCCGAAGCGACGUGAUGCGAGAUCAUGCUUAAGCUUGUCUUUUAGUGCGAGACUGCUAUGUUAACUGAUAUGUAUAAAUUUUUCAGUCCUGUUAUUUAUUUCUAUUAAUUUGCUUUCUAGACUCGGCUAAUCAUCAGUUACUGAUAUGUUAAUAUUGAACAGUUGAGUGAGCAGGAGGACCUUAUUGUUUGGAUGCGAACUGCAGCACUUCCAACUUUCAGAAAACUAUAUGGGAAAAUAGAGGUGGAUCUUCAGGCUGGCGAUGUCAUUAAUGUGGAAUUGCAAAAUAAUUAUAACACCUAUAGUUUCGAUGGCAAGAAGAAACUCGUCCUUUCUACCACCAGCUGGCUUGGAGGAAAGAAUGACUUUCUUGGUAUUGCAUAUCUUGUUGUGGGUGGAUUGUGCUUCUUUCUCUCCUUGGUUUUCACAAUUAUCUAUCUAGUUAAGCCAAGGUACGUUUUAGUGCCUACAUUGUUUCCUCAUCUCAUAGUAUUUUUGUGGAAGUAAAUUUUUUGAGCAAAAAAACCUUUACCACUAUUAGAUGAAAACUAUAAUCGAUCUCACCUGCUGCCACGUGUUCUCACCACAUGCCAGAUUAUCCAAACUAACUGUAACAAAAUUCAUAUUUGAAUAUAAAUUAAGGUUAAAAAAAAAUAAUAAACAGAAAAUAAGCCCCUGUUUUGAUGGAGAUUUUGGAUAAUAGAUUUUGUGAAAAGUGAUUUUUAUGGAGAACAUGGUUAAAAAGUAUGGAAAAGUUAUAGAUCCAAGUGUGAAAUUAUUUUGUUGAGAGAAUAUAUGGUUAACAAUGAGUUUGGGAAAAAUUAUUUUCAGAAAAUGGGGAACAAACAGGGGCUAAGAUGCUUCCACUGUUACGAACGUAUCUGAUUUCUGUCUUGAGAGAUCUUCUGAAAAGUAGAAAAGUGAACUGGAUAGUGGAUAUUCAAUUUGUUGCUUUGGCAGUUCGUAUACUGGCUACUUGUACCUCUUCUCUCAUCUUGAGUAGUAUUUCAAACUUGUCCCAGAUGACACUCCGAAGCGACGUGAUGCGAGAUCAUGCUUAAGCUUGUCUUUUAGUGCGAGACUGCUAUGUUAACUGAUAUGUAUAAAUUUUUCAGUCCUGUUAUUUAUUUCUAUUAAUUUGCUUUCUAGACUCGGCUAAUCAUCAGUUACUGAUAUGUUAAUAUUGAACAGUUGAGUGAGCAGGAGGACCUUAUUGUUUGGAUGCGAACUGCAGCACUUCCAACUUUCAGAAAACUAUAUGGGAAAAUAGAGGUGGAUCUUCAGGCUGGCGAUGUCAUUAAUGUGGAAUUGCAAAAUAAUUAUAACACCUAUAGUUUCGAUGGCAAGAAGAAACUCGUCCUUUCUACCACCAGCUGGCUUGGAGGAAAGAAUGACUUUCUUGGUAUUGCAUAUCUUGUUGUGGGUGGAUUGUGCUUCUUUCUCUCCUUGGUUUUCACAAUUAUCUAUCUAGUUAAGCCAAGGUACGUUUUAGUGCCUACAUUGUUUCCUCAUCUCAUAGUAUUUUUGUGGAAGUAAAUUUUUUGAGCAAAAAAACCUUUACCACUAUUAGAUGAAAACUAUAAUCGAUCUCACCUGCUGCCACGUGUUCUCACCACAUGCCAGAUUAUCCAAACUAACUGUAACGUUGGAGGAUCCUCCAAUAACUCACUUUUUAAACGAGCAUGUGCAGUACUUUGUGUUCCUGAGCCAAAGUUCUAGACCGAGCCUUCACCGGGGACCUUUCUUAUUCUGCUGUCAUUCCCUUACCAUGAACCUAUUCUUCUUUGGCAAAAAGUCAUUGAUAUGUAAUCUUUGUUUCAG